UUCAAGUGACUGCAGUCUUUCUUUAUGGCAGAGGAGUUCUCCACUGUGUAGAAAUAUAGUACCUCAUUUUCUUUAUCUGUUCAUCUGAUGGCACGAGAGUCUCCCCACCAGAGACGGAGAACUUCCAGUCUGCAAAGGACUGCGGUUCCUGAGCUAUCGUACUGUGCAGUACUUUGGAUGACUAGCAAAUCCUUGUGAUCAGGCCGCCCAGCUCUGCAGAUCAGUCCCUGCAGAGUCACUCUCAUGUCAUCCGGCCGUGCCUAGCCACCAGGUGGCCUAGCCUGUGCAGGGGAGGUCGCCUCGGCCCGCACCUGCAGAGUCGCAGGCGGCUCACUGCCAAGAAGCCGCACUGACUGUCUACAUGUGUUUUCAUUAAGAGACAAAGGAAAUGCUGGAAAGAGACCAGAGGAAAAUAUGAAAAGUCUCCCAUUGCCAAGGAAAGUGAGAGCACCUGGCAGACACAGUGGGUAGAGACUCUCCUUGUAAUCUCAAGGGCCCUAUGUUUCCCGGGGUGUGCAGUGUUCCCAGGACACACGGGUGCUUCCGGAAGAACUGGGAACCCCAGGAAAGGACCUAACACAUUUUGUGUGUAUUGCACCCAUGAAAAUUCAACCAAGGGAUGAACAUUACUCAACAGGUUCUCAUAAAAAGUUGAACCUCAAACCAACUCUGGAGUCAUAUUGAUGAGUCUUUAUACAGGAAGGACCUGCAGAGAAAGGUGUACAUCCCAGCAGAUGGAACCCAGGAAAGGGCAGGAUAUCCUGGAAUGCUGCUGAGCUGAUGCUGAAGAAGGUGGCACUGAUGAUCCUAGAAAUGACGGGCGCCAGCCUCGUGACCACGGUUGUGACAGCGGCUACAGCCAUUCACAGUGAGACACACACCUGUGUGUCACCUGCUUACAUGAGCCCAGUGAGGCCAGUCCUGUGCCAAGAACCUGCCCAAGCUGACCUCCACACCUGCUUCAGAUGCAGCAGCAGCAAAUGCAGCUUUAUGAAAACCCUCCUUACCAAGAAGUUACAGCUCAUCCUAAUGAAAAAGUACCCAGAUGGCCGGCUCUCCACAUCUCAUGUCAUCCCGUGCAGAGAAUCCGCCUUUGUUUUCUGAAGAAUCCCUUCCUGACCACAUGUUCUGCUCUUGCUGCAGCUCUGCAUCUGGGAGUGAGAUUUUAACAACAAUCCACUCCUGGGCAUUCUAACGUGGCUACUGGUUCCUAGCUCGGCAGGGCCGAAGAUGUGAUACAAGUAUGUUAAUAUCGUCCGUGCCCAUCUGGGAAAGCACCGAGCAUGUGCAGAGCCCCGAGCCAGCUCUCCCCUCUGUUCUGUUUGCUCUGAUGUAUUCAGGAAGAGUGAGACUCAGGGCGGCUCACAGCUGGAAGCUGAGGCCUUGCAUCCAACCGCAGUGCUUCACCCAGCCCGCACGGCUUCUCAGCUCCAGGACCCGGAAUGAGGGCACCCCUCUGCCUCGGUUUCUGCAGCUGAAAUGUGCACAGUAAGAGUGCCUGCUUCAUGGUGAAACUGUGAGGAUUGGAGGAGUUGAUACACAAAGAACUUAAGUGAGGGCUGCCCAGUGCCCAGGGAAAGUAAUGGAGGCGCAACCUGUUGUUGGUAUUAUCAAUCUUAGAUUGUUUACGCCAUUUUGUGGCAUCUUUCUGAUAUUCAAGAUAAUUUCACUAUUUAAAUUUAAUAGAAAUAAAACAUCCACAUAACACAUACUUUAGGUUAGA